UACAGAGGUCUCAAGCGUUGCUCGGAAUCACUGGGCGUAAAGCGCACGUAGGCGGGUCUUUAAGUCAGGGGUGAAAUCCUGGAGCUCAACUCCAGAACUGCCUUUGAUACUGAGGAUCUCGAGUCCGGGAGAGGUGAGUGGAACUCCGAGUGUAGAGGUGAAAUUCGUAGAUAUUCGGAAGAACACCAGUGGCGAAGGCGGCUCACUGGCCCGGUACUGACGCUGAGGUGCGAAAGCGUGGGGAGCAAACAGG
rnacentral:rRNA from 1 species